rnacentral:rRNA from 1 species
AUACGUAGGGGGCAAGCGUUGUCCGGAUUUACUGGGCGUAAAGGGUGCGUAGGCGGAUUCUUAAGUGGGAUGUGAAAUACCCGGGCUCAACCUGGGUGCUGCCUUCCAAACUGGGUGUCUAGAGUGCAGGAGAGGAAGGUGGAAUUCCUAGUGUAGCGGUGAAAUGCGUAGAGAUUAGGAAGAACACCAGUGGCGAAGGCGAUUUUCUGGGCUGUAACUGACGCUCAGGCACGAAAGCGUGGGGAGCAAACAGGAUUAGAUACCCUGGUAGUCCACGCCGUAAACGAUGGGAACUAGUUGUAGGGGGGUAAAACCCUCAGUGCCGACGCAAACGCAUGGAGUACCCCGCCUGGGGAGUACGGUCGCAAGAUUAA